rnacentral:lncRNA from 1 species
GAAAGGAGAGAAAAACGGAUUUCAAGUAGGAAGAGGAUUUCAAGGAGGGCUGAUUGAGAGGAGACAAAAAGCUAUAAAUAGGGAGGAGAUUAUGGAUAUUGAGACAGAGGUUGGAGUUGGAGAUUGCAAAGAAACAAGUUCAGAUUUUGAAGACCGGAGCCCAUCACUCAGUUUUCUCUCCUCUAUUUGUAAUUUAUUUGGGAUGAUUUCUAUGAGAUUUUUGAUUUUAAUUUUCAGUAUGAACUAAAUUUAUAAUCAAGGCUACAAAUAAACCUUUUAUGCUUAUAAAUUGAUUGCUCUAAUUAAUCUAAUUAUUUAUUUAAAUUGAGUUAUCUAUCAUAUUUUAUGUUUAUUGUUUAAUUAAUUGGCAAAUAAUUACCAUGUUACACCAGAUGAAUUUUAGGGUAUAACUGAAUGUGAAAGCAUGUAUUAUUAGUUGUUUGCAUGAGAUAAAUAAUUAGUGUUGUGAAUUGAAUAGUGAUAUAUCUUUUCACUGCAUGUAACAAUUGAAAAUUUGAACUUAAUGAAUUUGAUUCUUUUAUUUUACAUAUGAAUAUCGCAGAAUUAAUUGAAUUGAAUAUUUUUAUUUGAUCAUUUGAAAAAUGACUUAUAAAUAUUGUAAAUUCUUGUUAACAACUCAAGUUGAUUUAAUAAUUGGAGAAAUUGGGUAAUUGAUAAAUAUUGUAGCUUUAAGCAUUUAUCAUAAAUCUUGUGUUAAAAUUACUUUUUAGUAGUUUAAUAUAGUUUUAAUUGGAAAAUCACAUAAUUUAGUUGUUUAAAUACAAUUGAAUUGAUAUAAAGCUAGUAGUUGGGACAAACAUGAUUUUUUGUGGGUUCGACAUUUUUUUUUAUCAUUUUAUUAUUUAUUGAUCGUGUAUAAUUUUACAUAAUUUGUUGAUUGUGAAAUCACAAAUUUUUUUAAGCACGAGUACUUUAUAAAUGAUACGACAUUAAAGAAUAAAAAAAAAUUGCAUUCCACAGAAAAAAGUCAUAUUUUUGUUUCAUAUACGUCUUCAAAAAUAAUAAGUUAUUAAUUUAAUAGUGUAAUAAGAUAAUAAAAUUAUAAAUACAAAUUUAAAGUCUCUUAUUAUAUAGGGAACCUGAUAUUUUCAUAUAAAAAAUGAUAUUUUCACACGAUCUCUCUCAUAUGAAUAGUGUGUAGGUCCUACUUCCAUGUAAGAAAAACUUGAGUAAACAUAUGGAAAAAUUAGUUUACUAUUAUAUAUUGCGUGGAUUUUUUUUGUAGAACAAUUUUUUGUAACAUAUAUGACUAUUUUUUCUUUUCUCUUUUUUGGGAAUCGGAGAGGUAUUCAAUUCAAAUCGGAAACAAUGAAGCAAAUGGACAGAAUAUAACUGGGGCAUUUAAAUUCAGGGCCUCUGCAGGCAGUGGAAUUUUGUGAUCAGAAAUAGUAUUAGAUGCAGCUAUGGUUCGUGAAGAUAAAAUACUCCGCAAAGUCGAUCAAAAUAGAGGUUAGUGUGAUCAGGGACUUGAUUUGUUUCAUACUCCCUUCGUUCACGUACAAUUUAAUUUUUGAGGUCAAACGAUGACAUAUUAAAUUUUAAAAUUGAUAUAAAUUUAUUUAAUUUUAAUUAAUACAAUUAAUAUAAUUAUAUAAUAUAUAACAAAAACUAUUUCAUUCUAAAUUUUUAUAAGUCGUACUAAUUUAAAAAUUAAUAUGUCAGUCGGUUGACCACCGGCAGAGUUUUCCACUCCUAUUAGUAAAAAAAGGAUCACUUACAUUUUCUUACUCGAGGAACAAUAUUUUUGAGUUCCUUCACAAGGAAAAUCACUUUUGAAAUACAAUCCAAAUAAGAGGACGAAACCAAUUCCAUUCAAGUUUUCAAAAACUUAAAAGAAAUCCAUCUCUAAAUAGUUACCAGAAGGCUUCACAUCAACACCUGGUACCUUCUCCACUUUAGGUGCCUCAUUAAUCAUGAACGGUCUUGGCACAUCUGGUGGACUGGCGCAACGGAUAAGCGCCCAAUUUACACUUUGAAAAAAUGGAUGCUGCUUAAUUUCAGUAGCCCCGCGUCUAUAUGCAAGGCGAUGCUGUGGCUCUUUCACAAGUAAGCCCCUGAUCAAGUCCCUUGCAGCAAAACUCACACUAGGUGAUUCGGGAAACCUGAGGGGCUGUCCUACCACAUUAAACAAGGUGGCUCGGUUACCUGCCCCUUUGAAAGGAGUUUUCCCGAACAAGAGCUCAUACAAAAAGAUCCCAAAUGUCCACCAAUCCACAGCACUUCCGUGGCCUUCACCUUUGAUAAUUUCAGGUGCCAAGUACUCGUGGGUACCCACGAAGGACAUUGACCGAGCACUUGUAGGUUCAGCGAUGAGCUCUGGUAGGGGGCUCACUUGAUUAUAUAUUUCAGUCUUAGGUUUGUGUUUCUUUUCUUUCUUGGGCUUGCCUAAGAAGCGAGGUCCAAAACAUGUAGGUUGGAUGCAAGAUGGUUGGAUCACACAAGAUGGCUCAAUACAAGCAGGCUGAAUGCAAUAUGCUGAGUUCUUGGAUUCUAAGUUAGAAUUUGAGGAUCUGACCAGUGUUGGGCUCACAGCGCAUCUAAGCG